AUUACAGCGUUCCUGACACUCUGGAAUUACGGUGUUAUGAUUCUGCUUGCUGUUCAAUAAUUUACUGUCCGCCAAUUAGGCGGAACACUGUGCUGCCUCACACUGGUUAGAUCCGCGGAGGAGAGCGACAGAGCCAGGGAGGAAUGGACGGCGGCGGCGACGUCGGCGUUGGCCGGA